UGGGAGGCAUCUACCUAAUGUAUCACAGCAUGGGCUCUGAAAUCCAACUGCCUGGUUUAUAUACUAGCUCUGCCACUUAGCAGUUGAGUGACCUCUGACAAAUUAUUUAACUUCUCUGGCAAUACAGCUUCAGUUUCUUUGCCUGUAAAGUGAGAGAACACUAGUACCUACCCCCAAGUGUUGUUCUGAGGAUUAAACGCAGUUAAAAUAUAAAGCACUUAAUUUCCUGUCCCAUGGAUUGACUCCAGCUGUGAGUUUUGAAAGCACCCCUAAUAAGAGUGGCUUGAACAAGACUGAAAUUUCUCACUCAACUCAACGUGUGGAGGUAGAAAUUCCAAGGCUGGUCCAUGGCUCUGCUCCUUUCAGCCCACACCUCCACCUUCUAUGGGGUCUGGCCUCAGCAUCGUGGUCCAGUUGGCAUCCACGUCUAGGCAGUAGGAUGAAAGAGAGACAACGAAGAAGAAGGGAAGGGGAGCUGCCUGCCGCCUGAGAUUCCCAGCAGCUGCCACACACCUGCUCCGUCUACAACCAGAACUCAGUCGUACCCACCUGGAUGCAAAGAAGCCCAAGCAGUGUCUCUUUUAUUCCCGGCAACGUAUUAGUUUCCCACUCCUGCUGUAACAAAUUACAAACUUAAUGUUUAAAACAACACAAAUUUUUAUCUUGCGGAGGUCCAAAGUCUGAAAUGGUUCUGAGCUAAAAUCAAGAUGUCAUCAGGACUGGGUUCUCUCCCGGAGGCUCUAGGGGAGAAUUCAUGUCCUGCCUUUUCCAGCUUUUAGAGGUCACCCCAUUCCUUAGGUCAUGACGUCCUUCCAUCCUCAAAGCUGGCACUGGCCAAGCGAGACUUCUCUCAAUGCCAUCUCUCCGGUUCUGACCCUUCUGCCACCUUCUUCCCCAUGUACGGACUCCUGUGAUUACGUUGGGCCCACCUGGAUAAUCCAUGAUAAUCUCUUUAUUUUAAAGGCUACUGAUUUGCAGUCUUAAUUUAAUCUGUAACCUUCAUUCCCCCUUCCCAUAUAUCAUAACAUAUUCAUAGGUUCUGGGAGUUAAGAAGUGGACAUCUUUGAGAGGCUUAACAUAGGCAACCAUGGCAAAACUCCUAUCACCGUACAAGUAGGGCAAAGGACGUGCCACACUCCCAAGAAGUCUGUGAUCUCAGACGGUGGGUGUCACGACACCCCACCCGCCCACUGCCAAGUUCUGCCAUGCUGCUGGCAUGGGAGGUGCCCACUGUGGAGGAGGUAAACCUUCUUGCCUGCCCAGCAUCUCUUAAGGAUCCCGCUCCCCUAUGUGCAGUUCAGAUGGUUCAGGUGGGAUGGCCCCAACGCUCUCAGCCUCAGACAGUGCCAAUCAGGCUGCUCCUGGGUGAAGCGCUGCUUCAGGAAACGGGCAUGUGACCCAAGCCAGAUCAGUCAUGUCAUUCUUGGUACUUAGGCUGGGAUUUGGGGCAUGAUGCUCUCCCUUUUUUCUAGGAUCAUUGGCUUGGAGGACAAAGGAAGUUGGGAGGGGCCAAUGGCCAUCUUUGUCACCACUGAGAAAAGCCUACCUGGGGUGGAAGCCAGAGCGCAGAGCCAAAUGCCUCAGCUAAUACGCUCAAGAAAUACCUGUUGGGGCAAAUCACGACUUCCCAGAACCCUGGAGUGUCUCCUGAAUCCCAGCUCUUCAAUGUUCUGACUCUAAGCCAACAAUCAGGACCCACGAGGCCCUCCAGCUUCUAUAUGCCCUCACAGAUACUCAAACACCUGGCCUCCCAAGGCCUAGCUCAGCCCAAAUGCAUGUAGACUUUGCCAAGUCAUUUACUCUGCCUGGGAAAACCCCCCAUGUAACCAGGGGCCCUUCCUGGCCACUCGACUGCUCUUUUCCUUCUGCAUCUGCUGGGAACACUAACAAAGAGUCCAGAGGUAACCAGAGACCUGCAAGGCUCUUGUAGGACAUCCAUAUGGAAACUCAUGGCUGCAGAAGGAAGAGAGAAAGAACAACUUUCUUUCUCUGAGUGGCAGCUGUGAGAAUCUAUAGUUAUUUCCUCUCUCCCGCAGCCCCCUCCCGAGCACAGCUUUUCCUGGACUGAGUCCCUCCCCACAGUCCAGCUCUUGGCUCGGUUCCAAGUAAAAGACACUCCUUUGAAUGUAACCGGAAGCAGGAAUCCAGCUACGGAGGAGGAAUUUAGAAGACAUAGCCAUCCCCUGUCCAAGAUAAGGUCAGAAUCAGAGCGCUUCUGAGUUGUCAAAAGGAGCAAUGGAACUGAAGAAGUUUACAAAGCACCUGGAGAGCUGCUUUGCUAUUAUAAGUGUCUCAUUUCAAAAUUUCCUGCCAGUAGUACACCUGGCUGGCUCAUGGGAGCAGCUGUGAGCAUCCUCUCUCAGACUUAAACAUCUCCCAGCCCCCUUUACCUUUUCCCAGCUGGAUGGGGCAGGAGAGCCUAUAAGACCCAUCUGGGUUCUGGUGUCUUUAAAGAAAUCAACACCCUCUUAGGUCAUUUAUUAAAUGAGAAAUUAACUUGUACUUUGACGAAAAUCAAGCGUGAAGUCAUAGUAAUCACUGCCCUUUACAGAGUACCUCCCAUGUACCAGACACUCCACUUAACCUAACUACAACCUACCAGGAGGUUUAUUAUCCCCAAUUUACAAGCUGGUUGCCCAGGAACUCACUUACAAGAAGGUAUGCGCUCAAAAAGAACUCAAUCCCACUGAAUUAAUUAAUAAAUAAAAUCUACCUAGCAGUACAGCUGUCAACAUCUGAUAGGAGCGCUCACCCCUGCUCCCCAGGGGACAGGGCCUCCUUUAUUUGUCUUCCGUAUGACUUUGUUCUGAGAAAAGUCCCAUGGUGACACAUCGUUUGAAGACCACUUGUAGAAAGAGCUCAGUUCUUGGCGAGAGAGAAUGUCUGGGAUUAAAUUCUGGCUCUGCUGCUAAACAGCUGUGCAAUUUUGGAUAAGUCAAGUAAGCAAGCUGAGCUUCCAGUUUUCUCAAUGAAAAAUAGAGCUCGGAAUACCCGUCUCUCUGGGGUUGUGUAGGGAUGUGAGAUAAUAUUUGUAAAGUGCCUCGCAGUGAUUACACGGUAAGUGCAUGGUUUUAUUGGUAGUUAGGUACUGUAAUUGGUUGAUCUGGGACAGAGUGAUGGGCUCGAUGAAUGGGAGGAUGUUGAGGGCAGAGAACCCGUUGAAAGAAGGCCCAGGAGAGGGCAGAGGUCACCAGACAGCAAGGUGCAAGGGGCAAAGUUACAGAGUAGACCAGGAACUGUGGAAGGAGCAGUGAGUGCCACGGAAGACAAACGGCUCUAGCACCAAGGUGCCAAGGAUGCCAUGGCCUGGAGCCCAAGAGCUGGCUGGAGGCAGAAGCCCCGUAGGACCUUUCUUCCAGAAGGACCACUCGUCCGGAUGCUGAGGAACACCAAGACCCUUGAACUGACUUCCUGUACAAAGAGGUGGAGACUCAAGAAAGUUCACUUGCUCACUUGCUCUUCCAUCGCCAGACAAACAGCCCCUCUGCCCCCCUCCCACCCUUCCCCCAUCACUCUCCAGGAGGCCGAGUGGAAACAUUCCCCAGAGCCUCCUCUCGCUGCAAAGCCAUGGGUAGGAGGCUCUUAAAAAGCAAAUAUUCAGCUUCAUAAACAUGUCAUAAAUUCAUAACCAGUUCUCCACAUUCUUUGU